UUACAUUAAAAUCUAAAACUGAUUGUUCCGUUAUCACAUAAUAUGUUAGUCUUGUUUUUAUUCUUUAAGUAAUCCUUUGUUUUAUUUGGCCAUGGUCCCUUUAAGAAUCCUGGGUUUCAGUAAGGAGUCAUGUGACCAUUAAUCAGGAAGUAGUCAAUCAUGGCACAGAGAGCAGUAUGUUUAUUGUAUCUGAGCUAAUCCUGUGACAUCUGCAUACAUCUUAUGCCCUUUGUAGCAUCGUGGUUUCACCUUUCCAUUGCAACGUCAAUAAACCUGUGGACAAGGAGUGAACUGUCUUCAGAGUCUUGAUGUUAUGGAAGAGUUUACCUGGCUGUUAGGUUAUAUACAGAACAUAUACUGAGGACAGCACAGUGAAACCACGACUUUUAAAAGGCAAGAUAACGCAAUGCAGGCCGACAGAUUACGAUAAAAGCAUUGUCACACACAGCCAGUGGACAACUAUCAGACUAUAGCUGUGUGGAGAGAUACACCACAAGACUGUGCCAUGGCAACAGAAACAUCUUCAUUAAAGACACGCUCUCGUGCUUCAAGUGCAUCGUCAACUGGGUCAGCAGCAGCUAAGGCGAGAGCGAGAGCAGAGGCAGCAAAAGCACGUCUUGCCUUUGUCGAAGAGGAAGUUAAUCUGAAGCUACAAAAAGCCAAGCUGGAGGCAUCUAUGGAAAUGCUUAAACAUAAGAAAGAAACAGCUGCAGCCAUUGCCGAAGCAGAGGUGCUUGAAGCUGCUUUUGAUGAAAAUAUAGAGAAACACAGUUGCAGACUAAGUUUAAAUUCUGCCCCCUUGGAAACCACACAACGCACUGAACAAUAUGUUAUUGACCAAACCAAAGUACGAGAGACAGAACUUCAGCUGUGUGGUGAUGACAUCCCCCAAAAAACAGAACCAAGCCCAAGCUACAGCAUUUCAGCUUCACAUCUUAAACCUGAAGCCAAACCUUUCCUUGCACACCAAACCAGUGCUGCUUUCCAACCACCUCACAUUACUGCAAAACAACCAUGCAUCUAUGAAAAUGAACACGCUCGUGAGUCAUGUGAAGUUAGAUUCGAGAGCAACCAUGCUACUCCUGUGCAACACUUCAGACAGCAAAGUAACAGUGGUCAUCCUACUCCUCUAUCCUACCCCAUAUCCCCAAACUCAAAUCAUGGCAGCUCAAACAUAAAUGACUUUGUAAGAUAUCUUGCUCGUCGUGAGCUUGUGGCAACAGGCUUACUUCAGUUUAAUGAUAAACCUCAGAACUACAGAGCCUGGAAACGUUCUUUUCAGACUGCAACUACUGAUUUAAACCUGGCACCGAGUGAAGAGAUGGAUCUCCUGCUGAAGUGGCUUGGCAAGGAGUCAGCAGAGCAUGUGGAACAGAUAAGGGCAAUACAUAUCAACAAUCCACAAGCAGGACUGGCAAUGGCAUGGGACAGACUUGAACAAACUUAUGGCUCUACAGAAGUGAUAGAAGAUGCUUUGUUCAAACGAAUUGACACCUUUCCAAAAAUAGCAAAUCGAGAUUAUCCUAAAUUGACAAAGUUGAGUGAUCUUCUAAUGGAGCUUCAGUCCGCUAAGGCCGAAGGAGACUUGCCUGGCCACGCUUUCUUAGACACGGCAAGAGGCGUCAAUCCAAUAGUACAGAAGCUGCCGUUUCGUCUGCAAGAAAAGUGGGCAUCAGUUGGUGCAGCCUACAAGCAACAAAACCAUGUUCCCUAUCCUCCCUUUGCCUACUUCGUAGACUUUGUUAGUCAGGAGGCUAGAAUUGGGAAUGAUCCAAGUUUUAACUUUAUCUCUCAUAUAGACAUGGCUCCCAAGAUGGAGAAGACAGCUUGGAAGACCAGUAAACAACGAGAAAUCUCUGUACACAAGACAACGGUAUCUUCCAGAGUUCCCAUUGAUACUGGUGAGCCCUCCCAAAACUCUGACGACUGCGAUAAACUGUGUCCCAUUCAUAGAAAACCACAACCUCUGCGUAAAUGCCGUGCAUUCAGGGAAAGGUCCAUUGAAGCCCGCAAAGCAAUUUUAAAAGAGAAUAAUGUGUGCUUUAAAUGCUGCUCUUCGGCGUCGCAUAUAGCAAAGAACUGCAAGAUUAAAGUCCGGUGUUCUGAAUGUAAGAGUGAAAGGCAUCACACAGCGCUCCACCCUGGACCCGCGCCCUGGAUAGAAGUAGACGCUGCUCCUGAGCACGGCGGGGAGGGGGAGGAAGUCUCACCUCAAUCUCGAGUUACCAGCAAAUGCACAGAAGUCUGUGGGGAAGAUCAGACAGACCGAUCUUGCUCUAAAAUAUGCCUUGUAAAAGUAUUUCCAGCUGGCCACAGAGACAAAGCAGUAAAAGUCUAUGCAAUCUUGGACGAACAGAGCAACAGGUCACUAGUUCACUCACAGUUCUUUGAAGUGUUCAGUGACCAAAGUCCAAGUGCUCCUUACACAUUAAGAACAUGUGCGGGAGUAAAGGAGUCAGCUGGAAGAAGGGCUAGCAGCUAUGAAGUGGAAUCUCUGGAUGGAACUGUCCGCAUCCCAUUACCAAGCCUUAUAGAAUGUAACGACAUUCCCAAUAACAGAGACGAGAUUCCAACUCCUGAUGUGGCUCGCCGUCAUGCACACUUAAAGUCUGUGGCACACCUCAUUCCAGAACAGGACCCACAAGCCCCAAUUAUGCUUCUCUUAGGUCGGGACAUCAUAAGAGUUCAUAAGGUCCGUAAACAGGUGAAUGGCUCACACAACCUACCCUAUGCACAGAAGUUGGAUUUGGGAUGGGUCAUUGUCGGCAAUGUAUGUCUGGGUAAUGUCCACAAACCACAAACAAUCAGGAACUUUCACACAAACAUCACAGAGCCAAAACGCCCAACUCUCUUUAGUCCAUGUCCUAACGUCUUCCAUGUUAAAGAAAAAUACAGGGACAUCCAACUAACUGACUACCCCUCAGCAUAUUCUGUGGAUGAGUAUAUCUGUGAUGCUGACCACCUGGGAUGCACUGUGUUUAAGCGAACCAAAGAUGACAACCAGGUGGCUCCUUCGAUUCAGGAUGCCUCUUUCAUGAAAAUCAUGGAGGAAGGUCUACAAAAAGAUUCAAACAACAGUUGGGUAGCACCAUUACCCUUUAAGAAUCCACGUCCACGCCUUCCCAACAACAGGCCGCAAGCACUGAAACGUCUUUUGUCUCUCAAACGCAACUUUGAAAGGAAGCCUGAAAUGAGAGACCAUUUCCUCAGCUUCAUGGACAAGACGUUUAAAAACGGCCAUGCUGAGUUGGCCCCUCCUCUGAGCGAGAAAGAAGAGCAAUGGUACCUGCCAACAUUCGGAGUGUACCAUCCGAAGAAACCUAAGCAAAUCAGAGUAGUGUUUGACUCCAGUGCCAAACACAAUGGUGUAUCACUUAAUGAUGUGCUUUUAACUGGGCCUGACCUUAACAACACACUGCUGGGAGUAUUGAUCCGCUUCAGGAAAGAAGCCAUUGCCUUCACAGCAGACAUAGAACAGAUGUUCUAUUGUUUUUUGGUAAGGGAAGAAGACAGGAACUUUCUACGUUUUCUUUGGUUCCAAGACAAUGACCUUUCCAAAGACAUUGUGGAUUAUCGCAUGAGGGUCCAUGUCUUCGGUAAUAGCCCCUCACCUGCGGUGGCUAUUCAUUGCCUGCACCAGUCUGUUCAGAUCAGCGAGUUCCAUGUCGACCCUGAUGUCAAGCAUUUUGUGAUGCGCGACUUCUAUGUAGAUGAUGGCCUGAAGUCCCUGCCUACAGUUGAAGCUGCUAUCAGUUUGCUGAAAAAGACUCAGGACGUUCUCUCCAAAUCCAAUCUGAGGCUACAUAAGAUUGCAGCAAACAACAAAGAGGUCAUGGAAGCUUUCCCAUCCAGAGAUCAUGCAAGUGACCUGAAAGAUCUAGACUUUGAGGCAGACGCACUGCCAAUGCAACGUAGUCUUGGACUCAAUUGGAACCUUCAUACCGACUGUUUCCUCUUCAGUGUCUGUGAUGAGAUAAAACCUUAUACCCGGCGAGGUGUUUUAUCAACUAUCAACAGCCUCUAUGAUCCUCUUGGGUUUGUAGCACCGGUCACAAUUCAAGGCAAGGCUAUUCUGAGAGAACUCACUACUGAGAGUGGCGACUGGGAUGCUCCAUUACCACAAGAAAUGGAGGAAGCUUGGACGUCAUGGAGAGCUUCUUUGACAGAGCUAUCCAGUCUUUCCAUCCCCAGGCCUUAUACUGAGACUUCACCAUCAACGGCUGUCAGAAGGGAGCUUUGUGUCUUUUCUGAUGCAUCGACCAAAGCUAUUGCUGCAGUGGCAUAUUUAAAAGUCACAGAUGCUGCAGGAAAUAAUCACAUUGGUUUUGUGAUGGGGAAAGCCAAACUUACCCCCCGCCCUGAGCACACAGUACCAAGACUAGAACUUUGCGCUGCAGUGCUGGCCGUUGAGUUAGGAGACUUAAUCUCAGCAGAACUGGACCUUAAGCUUGAUGCUGUAACCUACUACUCAGACAGUAAGGUGGUUCUGGGGUACAUUUGUAAUGAAACCAGGCGUUUUUAUGUUUAUGUUAGUAACCGGGUACAACGUAUCCGAAGGUCCUCCAAUCCUGACCAAUGGCGCUAUGUGCCAACAGACCAAAACCCCUCAGAUCAUGCGACACGGUCUGUUCCUGCAGCCCACUUAAAAAACACCAAUUGGCUAAGUGGACCCACAUUUCUGCUCAUGCCAGAACCAGGUACCUCUGAGAGCACUUACAACCUUGUUGAUCCAAGUUCAGAUCCAGAUGUACGGCCUCUAGUAUCCACUUUAAGCACUACAACUUCAUCCAAGCAGCUUGGUUCCCAACGAUUUGCCAAGUUUUCAUCUUGGAAGUCAUUAACAGGUGCUAUUACACGCCUUAUUCAUGUAGCCCAUCUUUUCAACAAAGCUGCAAAGAAAAACAGUUCCUGUAAGGGCUGGCAUUACUGCAAGGCAGAAUUCACAGUGGAGGAAUCCAAUAAAGCUUCAGCCAUCAUCAUCAAAGUGGUGCAAGAAGAGGUUUACAGUCAAGAGAUCAAAUGUAUCCAAAAGCAAGAGAAGAUUCCAAAAAGUAGUCCUCUUCACACUCUGGACCCAUUCAUUGAUGCACAAGGUCUGUUGAGAGUCGGAGGCCGUCUCCACCAUUCAGGCCUUAAUCAGAGUGAGAAGUCUCCUUUGAUAAUUCCUGGCAAGAAUCACAUUGCAGCUUUGCUCAUUAGACACCACCAUGAGCAUAUCCACCACCAAGGCCAUCACUUUACUGAAGGAGCAGUCCGUUCAGCCGGCUUUUGGAUAGUUGGUGGGAAACGAAAGGUGAGCAGCAUCAUCCAUCAGUGUGUAACUUGCAGACGGCUUAGAGCUCCACUCAGUAUCCAGAAAAUGUCCAGCCUUCCAGCAGAUCGCUUCUCAACAGACCCUCCCUUUACCAGUGUUGGACUGGAUGUAUUUGGCCCUUGGAGUGUCGCCUCAUGAAGGACAAGAGGAGGGUUUUCACACAGUAAGAGGUGGGCUGUCAUUUUUACAUGUAUGAGCAUAAGAGCUGUUCAUAUUGAAGUUAUAGAGUCCCUCAACACAUCCAGCUUCAUCAAUGCUCUUAGACGUUUUCUUGCAGUGCGUGGACCUGUAAAACACAUUCGUUCAGACCGUGGCACAAACUUUGUUGGUGCAUGCAAGGACUUAAAAAUACCAUCAAACAUUGACAGCAAAACUGUGAAGACGUAUCUGGCAGACCGAGGUUGCACUUGGAGUUUUAAUCCUCCACACGCUUCCCAUUUUGGUGGAACAUGGGAAAGAAUGAUUGGGAUUGCAAGAAGAAUUCUUGACUCCAUGUUCCUCCAGCUGAAAGACAAACUUACCCACGAAGUGCUGGUGACAUUCAUGGCAGAGGUAGCAGCCAUUAUCAAUGCCAGGCCUCUUGUUCCCGUGACAACGGACCCUGAUGAAUCAUUUAUACUCACCCCAGCGGCUCUCCUCACACAAAAAGUGAAUGUUGUUGCUGCACCUGCAGGCGAGUUUGGAGUUGCAGACCUCUACAAGUGCCAGUGGCGGCAAGUUCAACACCUUUCCAACACAUUCUGGGACAGAUGGCGAAAGCAAUACCUACCAACCCUACAGGCACGCAAGAAAUGGCAGUCUGCUCAUCCAAACGUUAGACCAGGAAGUGUUGUUCUCCUCAAGAAUAGCCAAGUACCACGAAAUGAAUGGCCUCUUGGACUGGUAACUCAGACCUUUCCUAGCCAAGAUGGAAAUGUGCGCCAGGUUGAGGUCAAGGUCAUUAAACCAGGAGGUUCUACGCUUUUUCUUAGACCUAUUACAGAGGUAGUGCUCCUACUUUCCCCAAAGUCCAAAGUAGAUGUAUCAUCAUAGAGUUUGUUGAGGUGAUGUGUAAGCACAUCAGGUGGGGAGUGUUCCGUUAUCACAUAAUAUGUUAGUCUUGUUUUUAUUCUUUAAGUAAUCCUUUGUUUUAUUUGGCCAUGGUCCCUUUAAGAAUCCUGGGUUUCAGUAAGGAGUCAUGUGACCAUUAAUCAGGAAGUAGUCAAUCAUGGCACAGAGAGCAGUAUGUUUAUUGUAUCUGAGCUAAUCCUGUGACAUCUGCAUACAUCUUAUGCCCUUUGUAGCAUCGUGGUUUCACCUUUCCAUUGCAACGUCAAUAAACCUGUGGACAAGGAGUGAACUGUCUUCAGAGUCUUGAUGUUAUGGAAGAGUUUACCUGGCUGUUAGGUUAUAUACAGAACAUAUACUGAGGACAGCACACUGAUUGAUUGGAAAACUAAUGUAAAAAGCUGUUAUCAACACUGAUACCAUCUGUAUGAUGAUGAAUGUUUUUAGUAUGUAACGUUAGUGUUAAACUAAUAAAAAUAAAAGGAUCGUGUAAGACUUCAGACCUCUUUAGGCUCAGUGAAUUCACCCGGACCGUCUUCCUGCCUGUUCGUUUGAUCCUCUGGUAGAACUUCAUCACACCCACCACUUUCCAUUUCUUCAUAGUCAUAAAUAAACAGCGCGAGACCUGCAGUGUUUCUGUUGCAUCUCCGUUGCUAGGAGACGCAACACUUCCGGAUUCGCUCCUCUUUCUAAAUAGGUGGAGUUGUUGUGCUUUCAGCUGGCUUCAGAAACCGCGAAGAAAGUUGAGCUCAAGCUGCGUUGCUCG